rnacentral:lncRNA from 1 species
GAGCAGCAUGCCUCACAUGCUUCACCCCACCUGGAAAGCAUCCACAGCCCAGGGAAGUUCAUGCUCUGCUCCCUCCUCAAGCCUGUGCAAAGAUUAGAGCCAAAGUUUCCAGAGAAAACAGCCAUCUCCCCACCCUCAUCACUCCUCUCAGAUGCCCCAUCAGGAGUGGAGCAGAGCCCUGGGGAGUCCAGCAGUGAAACACCCCAUGAUGUGGAACCCCCCAAGGAGGCUGCCACCUGGGAUCCUGCUGAGACCUCCAUGCUGCUGCUGCCACCACGGGUCCCCUGUGGUCUCGGGGGGACAGUCAACCUCAUCCUCAGCAUUGGCAAGAAGGGCGAGAAGAAGGCACAGCCGCUGGCUAGCUGUGAGCGGCCAGGGGAGGAGGCACUGCCAACGGUAUGGGGCGGAUUGUGGGCGGCUUUGGCAGAACCAUGGGUGAGCAGCCACACAGCCAGGGCAUCUCUCUGGAGCUGUGCCCCAUGCAGACUGGGAGGCUGCAAGGGCUGCAGGGUAACCCCUGAGCUGAGACCCCUCUAGGCCGUUUCUAAGUGGGCCGCUGGGACUGUGUCAAUCUCAGGAGAGGGGCCUUUGGCCAUGCUGAUGCCAUGUGAUGCCUUAGGACUAAGGCUGGCUUGCGCCGCCCACUUUGCCUGUGCUCUCCUGCUGCAGCUCCUUGCCCACUCUGUCCUCUCUGUGUGUCUCUUUCUCUCCCCUUGCUCAGCUCCUCACCACUAAACACUCAGGCUGUAAAACCUUUUGGAAGCGUUGCCAGGGGCUUUUAGGAAACACUUGGGGUAGCUUAAAGCGAAAAAGAAAGCCACCUCGCCAGCUGGUGGAAGAGGUGCAGGUGGAGGCCAGGAAAACCUGUGCCACAAAGUGGACACCUGUUGUUGUCCGCCGCCCUCCAGCAUCCAGCAGUGGGAUGCCGGUUGUGUCCCACACCCUGCCUAAGGCCGGGGCUGGCUGUCUCUUCAACAGCUUGCAGCGGCGGGAGCAGGCCAGAGUAGAGCAGGCCCGGCUGCUGACUCUCCAGGGCAUCAUGGGCGACAGCUCCCUGCAGCCCACACCUGAGGAAUGCCAUGGCCCCAACAACACGUGGCCUCAGAAGUGUGGUUGGAGAAAGGGGAGGCCAGGGACAGCUGCUGCUGGACCUCAGCUUGGGGAGCUGCUCCUCUACGUCAGGAACCCACUGGUGCAGGACAUUGAUGCUGAGUGUGAGGCAGCCCCUCAGAACCCUUGCCUCCCUAACCCAAAAAUCACAUGCCCUCGUGUUUCCCUGGGCUCCGUGCUCAGCCUGGAGCUGCCACGGGAUGCAGUGGUCCUGGGGUGCCACCAAGGGGCUGCAGCACAGCAGCAGGAGGCAGAGAGGCAGGAGCAGAGGCAGGAUCAAGGGGUGAGGCCUUGGAAACCCAUAGGCACAUACGGAGUUGGAUGGCAGGAAGAUGGGCACAGUCCCCAGGGGCCCAGCAAGAGGCUGGGGAUGUCCCCCAAGCGUGAGGGAGGAACGUUGUUCGAGGAGGUGAGCUUCAACCCCAGCUACAGCCAGCAAAGGGCACACUGUGCUGAGAAGGAGCACGGGAACCUGCAGCACCCCAGCAGCACCAGUAAAGACCUUCUGGACUUGGGGCCGAGCCAGCCAUCCUUUGUCAGUAUGGGGGAUGAGCUGACCACCCACUUUGGCCAGGACAACAGCCCCACUGCCACUGGCAGGGCCAGGCUUCACAGAGCCACUUGGCUAGAGCUUGGAUCAUCUCCUGCCAGCAUCCCAGGCAGGACUGGAGCCAUCCCCAGCCCUGCCUGCAAACACCAGCCAGCCAGCAACAGCCAGCCCAGAAGGUCCCCAGCUUCCCCUGCUGCCCCCACCCAGCUCUCUAUCUUUGAGUGGGCACUGGGGUCUCCACAGCCCCAGAGCCCUGCACUGGGCACUAAGGAAGUUUGCCACCCUGCCCACAGGCAGUUUGAGGAAGAGGAGGAGGAGCUGCAGGCCAUCUGGGAUGGUGCACAUGAGCGACGGGCACAGAGCCCACCUAGAGGCAGCUGUGCCAGCCAUCGGACAGGCAGCAGGGAAGGCAGUUUGCCCAGCCCGAGCACUACUGCUGGCGGGCCCUUUAUCCUCUCAUCAGCCAACAAUGUGCUAGUGGCCAGAUUCACCCUCCCCACCGUUGCCCAGCUGCUCCACAGCCCAUCAGGAGAGAAGAGCCCCGGGGUGGUGCACAGUGGCAGUGGCAGUCCCAACAGGGAUUCCCCCCACGUGGAGGAACUGGUGUCUGCAGCCCAUUUGGAUAACUUCAGCACCUGGGGUCAGCGGCGGCACGGGCAAGAGGAGAGAGAGAGCAGCAAGGUCCUUCCUGGUAAAAUGGAGUUUCAGAUGAUGGAGGGGACGCUGGAAAGGAAGCACAUAUUGCAAACAGGAGGGAGAAAGGCCAGCUGCCGGGCCUGGGGCCUCUUCCAUGCCAUGUUGAUGAGGCAGACACUGUGUUUCUAUGAGGACCGCAGAGACAGCCUCAAGAGCUCUGUGGUGGCCCUUCCCUUGAACCUGACUGGGGCAGUCUGCACUCCAGAUGCUGAGUACACCAAGAAGACCAACUGCUUCAGACUUCAGCUGCAGGAUGGCUCUGAAUACCUCCUGAGGGCCCCCACCCAGCCCCUCAUGAAUGAAUGGGUCUCAAAGCUGCAGCAAAACUCAGGUUUCCCCAAAGUGGAUUACUUCCAGGCAGCAGCACAGCGUGUCGAGGGCAUCGGUGGUACUGGCAGUUUCAGCAAGGUCUCCAGCCCUGGGAUCUCCCACCUCCAGGGACAUCAUCAGGUCAUGACCACCAAGAGCCAGGAGACUGUGGUAUUACCCUGUGCAAGCACAGUACUGCAGCGGCCUCUGGGCAGCCAGGAUGGCCCAGUUGAUGGGACUGUGGCAGCAGCAGAGAAUGCUCAGGGGAUUGGGCACAAGGAGCAGCAGUGGUCAUCCAGGGUGUCCCCCGGGCUGUGGGACAACAUCCGCCCAGAAGACAACUGUGGGCUGGUGGCCAGCAAGAGGAGGUCCUACUCCUUCACCUCAGCCACCUACCAGAAGAUCACCCCACUGACGGUGCACAAGGAGCCAGCAGAGGCCGGGAGCAGUUAUUCUGUCACACUGUACAUAGGGGAGCAGGUGUCAGCUGUGCCCCGAGCACGCUGUCACUCCUUUGUGGCCCAAACAGGGAGCCUUUGGGACACACGAAGGGAGAAGACCACCAGCCCCCCUCGCACCAGGAACAAAUCUGUCUUCAAGAAGUUCUUUGGGAAGAAAGAGUGA